rnacentral:misc_RNA from 1 species
UUUCCGUAGGUGAACCUGCGGAAGGAUCAUUAAUGAGUUGUCAUGGGGUUCGAUGCUGGCAGCCAAUUUUUGGAUGCAUGUGCUUGCCCUAACAAUCAUCUUCCAAACACCUGUGCACAUUUUUGAGGGAGUCUUGAGUUGGUUGCCGCUCUUGGGUGAUUUCUCACAUUCCCUUAAAUCAUUAUACGCUAUUAACAAUGAUGAACGUGCUCUGUGCCGCAAGGCUAUUAAUAUAAUACAACUUUUAACAACGGAUCUCUUGGCUCUC